UGGUAUGACAUGACGAUAGUUAAAGCGCGAGAACAUAACGACGACACAGAGACAAGAAGUGUCUUUCUUGUCUCUGUGUCGUCGUUUUGUUCUCGCGCUAUAACUAUCGU
rnacentral:pre_miRNA from 1 species